rnacentral:rRNA from 1 species
AUUGAACGCUAGCGGGAUGCCUUACACAUGCAAGUCGAACGGAGUGGCGAACGGGUGAGUAAUGUAUCGGAACGUGCCCAGUAGCGGGGGAUAACUACGCGAAAGCGUAGCUAAUACCGCAUACUAUUGGAGCGGCCGAUACCGGAGUAGCGAGUUGGUGGGGUAACGGCUCACCAAGGCGACGAUCCGUAGCUGGGUUGAGAGGACGACCAGCCACACUGGGACUGAGACACGGCCCCGACUCCUACGGGAGGCAGAAGGUGGGAAUUUUGUGAAAUGGGGGAAAUCCUGAUCCAGCCAUCCCGCGUGUGGCAUGAAGGCCUUCGGGUUGUAAAGCACUUUUUGCAGGGAAGCGGUACCUGCAGAAUAAGCACCGGCUAACUACGUGCCAGCAGCCGCGGUAAUAC